rnacentral:siRNA from 1 species
GUGAACUAAUGUGUUGAAUAAGCA